GUAGAGAGGGUAGUUAUGCCAAGAGGGAAAGGGAGGAGUAAGAUGUUGGGGUGUGUGUGUAUGUUUGUGUGUUAUUUGGGAGAACAGACUUUUUCUGCUAGGACCUCCUUCCUGGUCCUUCUUAGACUUGGGGACUGGAGCCGACAGAUGGAGAGAGGCAGGAGGACACAAAGGAGGAUGCACGCCAUUGCCAAGACCCCAAGGAAGAAGGAUGGAGAGAGCGUCUGGCAGUCCUGCUUGGCCCUUAGCCAGUUCCCUGCUGAAGAGGGCCAAUUCCUCAUGCCUGGUCUCAUCUCUGGAAGUGGAUGGCAGCUUCAGAAGAAGCAAGGUGGUUUCCACAGCAGAGGUGAAAGCAAUGAGGCGUUCGGCCAAGAGGGAGAAGCAACACGAUUUAAUCCUGGUGACUUGGCAUUCUGCAUUGUGCUAACCCAGCCUUCUGCCUACCAAAAAGGCCCACAAUGCAUCUAUCUCUGGAGUCAGAGCACUGCUGCUGAGGACUUCCAGCCUGAGAAAGGGGUUGGGAAGGAAUGCUUCCAGCCACUGAGAACAUGGGAUGACGCACCCUCAAGAAGCAUGCCAAUUUAUCUAAAUCAGCAGAGUCAGUCAAGCUUUCUUUUGCCCCCAAAUUACAGGGUACCAGGUAAGUACAGUUGUUUAGAGUCAGUUCCUAUCUACUAUUGUGAAUGUAUAUGGCGUCUCCAAGCCAGGGCAUUUGGGUGUAAGACAGAAACUGUGCUAGAGGGCAGGAGGAAGGAUUUCUGGCUACAUUAACCCUUGGUAAAAAGAAGCAUAGUUCAAACUAAAGCCAACUUACCUUGGCUGUAAAUCCCUAAAAUAAUCAUC